rnacentral:rRNA from 1 species
AUUGAACGCUGGCGGCAUGCUUUACACAUGCAAGUCGAACGGCAGCGCGGGCUUCGGCCUGGCGGCGAGUGGCGAACGGGUGAGUAAUGCAUCGGAACGUGCCCAGUAGUGGGGGAUAGCCCGGCGAAAGCCGGAUUAAUACCGCAUACGACCUGAGGGUGAAAGCGGGGGACCGAAAGGCCUCGCGCUAUUGGAGCGGCCGAUGUCGGAUUAGCUAGUUGGUGGGGUAAAGGCUUACCAAGGCGACGAUCCGUAGCUGGUCUGAGAGGACGACCAGCCACACUGGGACUGAGACACGGCCCAGACUCCUACGGGAGGCAGCAGUGGGGAAUUUUGGACAAUGGGGGCAACCCUGAUCCAGCCAUGCCGCGUGCGGGAAGAAGGCCUUCGGUUUGUAAACCGCUUUUGUUCGGGAAGAAAUCCUCUGGGCUAAUACCCCGGGGGGAUGACGGUACCGGAAGAAUAAGCACCGGCUAACUACGUG